AAUUUUCCGUACGCCCCCGUCUACGUACACGUUUGUAAAACGGAGCCGGGCACUUCGGCCGUCGUCCUCGAAUAGCAAUACACGCACGCUAUGAACGGUUCGACUCUGAAUUGUCUUUAAUCCGUCCGUGCAAACUCGUCCGCUCAUUAAUUCGACGGGUACUUGCAGCGAUCACAAUGCCGACAUCGUCGCGUUAUCGUGCACUCGCCAACGCGAGACGCGUUCGUUUCCGCAAAACUGCGAACGGAAAAUCUGAGAACUAUUUCCAAACGCGUCGACGACGGUAACAACGGAAAUGAUAUCACAACGCCGUCGCAUCGAUCGCACGGGCGACGAUUGGCUUCGCCGUAUUGUAAUAUUAUCACGGCGUCCUGAUGCGCGUUUCGCAGAACAUUCCCGACGACGGACCGGGCCCGUGCACACCGCCGCGCUCUUUCUGCACGACAAAUAAACGCGACAUUCUGCCGAAUUAUUGUUAUUGUACCGGUCGGUCGGGCGGGUAUUUACCCGUAAUUCCGUCGCGCAAUCCCGACGACUUGUCCGCGUACAUUUUUCCCCGGCAAUAACAGUCGUCGAUGACGGCAACGGCAAUAGCGCGCGUUAUUAUCGGUACGUUGACGUGUGCGGUUUAUCGCUGGAUGUUUUUGUCCGUCGAUACACGCAGGGACGCCGAAAAUUCAAUAAACCGCCGACCUGACGUCGACACCGCGAUAGAUG